UAGAGUUUAGGUUAAAGAAACCAGUUGCCUUCAAAGCUACCAAUAAGUAAAAGUACUUAACUCUAG
rnacentral:tRNA from 1 species